AUGAGCGACAUGCAGCCCGUGGAGGGUCCGAUGGGCCCUUCAGAGGGCGCCCAGCACGGCAUGACACUGGCCUUGCGGGACGGAGACCAAAAUGGGAAUGCCUUUGCGGAGUCUUCCUCCUCUUCCUCUUGCUCCCCGUCCUGCCAGAGCGAGUCGUCUCCAGACUCCGUGCGCAGCUCCAGCAGUCUGAGCAGUGGUCGCUCUGACAGUCCCCUGGAUGUUGACAUGCAAGAAUGCACUGAGAGACAGAAGCUCCUAGCUGGCAGCAGUGGCCAUAUUGAGAUCCCCAAAGAAACGCCAGUGCUGGAUCCUGACAACGUGGUUCAGCAGUGUGACUGCUCUGAGUCCAAUGAGAUCUCCGUUUCUGUGUACCUGGAUGCCCGUGACCAUGACGACGACAACACCUGGAACAACAAUGAGAACCUUGCUCUGGUGUUCAUCCAGGAAGACACCCACGGUGACCACGGUGAUAUCCAUGGAAAUCACUAUGGCAACCAGAACGGCAGUCGCAGACGUUACUCUGAGGACUCACCGGCCCCUCUGUGCUCCUCGGAGAAUGACGAUAUUGAUGAUGAUGAUGAUGAUGAUGAAGAUGGCGAUCAGGAGGACUUGUUCCUGUCAGUGAGUUCAGGAGACAUGGUUAUGAGGAGCGUCACCAUCAGCCUGGACGGCUCAGAGCGAGCCCUCAGCAGUGUGUCCGUCCUGGCCGACUCGUCCACCUCCUCCUCCGACGACCACGAGCCCCUGUCCUCACACUCACCCCCACUCACAGAGAAGACCCAGGGUCUGGGAUCAUCUAGUCUCACCACCCCUGCCUGUCCUGAAGGUCUAGCUCUCACAGAGGAUCCGCAGCAGGAGCCUGUGGAUGCUGCUGCUGAGGUGUGCAUGGUGGAUGGGACGGAGAAGGAGAAGGAGAAGGAGGGGGAGGAGGCAGAUGGGGAGGUCCAGGAAGGGACAGCCAAACUCUGUUCCGCCUCAGUAAUGAAUGAAACAAAGGUGGAGGUCCCCAGUGUGCAGGUGAAAGACACCCCUGAGGUCCAGACCUCCACCCCAGUUGUUGCUGUCCAUAAGGCCAAGGCGCAAACUGCAGUGGCUCGGGCCAAACCGGCUUGCCGUGCCACCAAAGCGACGGCAUCUAAGCCUGGCAAGAACGUUGUCAAGAGGUUUCCCAAGCCAGACCUGAAGAAUGUGAAAUCCAAGAUAAUGUCUCUGCCUUCAUCUGCAACAAAAGUGACCAGGAGUGACCAGCAGGCUCGAGGGAAAAACGUUGUUAGCCAGCUAUCUCCAUGCAACGAGAAGAAGCUUCCUGCCACAGCACUCAGACCUGCCCAGAACAAACAGGAAGGACCAGGAGGUGGCGUGAGGAGGCGAUCCUCUUCCUGCCAGGCAAGAGUGGCUGCACCCAAACCAGCUGUGGCCCGCUGGUCCAACCAGAACUCACGAGCAGCUCCACAGCGGACCAGGAGGAAGGCCUUGCUGCUUAACGGCGUCCGACGGAGUUCAGAGGUCAUCUCCAGUGACGACCCCAGAGACAUGGGACUCGUGGAGGAGCCCGUGCCCCAUCCAGAGGAUCAGGAGGAGCGAGCGGAGGGAGCUGGAGAAGCUGCUUCCCCUGAGCGCACUGACGGCCCUGAUUCUGCUGCAGACGCAGCAGUGAAGGAGCAGUCAUCAGAGCUGCAGGGAGAUGGUGACCAGGUGAGUGCUCUCGACACCAUACACACCCUGUUUAUUUACUUACUAGGGUUGCAUUUCAAGUGUCCAUGUCAUUAUCUGCCAGCCAUAACAGAAUUGGGUGAUAGUAUUUCUUUAUUGAUAACUAAAUGA
ensembl:lncRNA